UACGGAGGGUGCAAGCAUUAAUCGGAUUUAUUGGGCGUAAAGGGCGCGUAGGCGGUUAUGUAAGUCAGAUGUGAAAUACCAAAGCUCAACUUUGGUGCUGCAUAUGAAACUACAAGACUAGAGGGAUGGCGGAGAAAACGGAAUUCCACGUGUAGCGGUGAAAUGCGUAGAUAUGUGGAAGAACACCUGUGGCGAAAGCGGUUUUCUAGCUAUUACCUGACGCUGAGGCGCGAGAGCAAGGGGAGCAAACAGG
rnacentral:rRNA from 1 species